AUUGAACGCUGGCGGCAUGCCUUACACAUGCAAGUCGAACGGCAGCACGGGAGCAAUCCUGGUGGCGAGUGGCGAACGGGUGAGUAAUAUAUCGGAACGUGCCCAGUCGUGGGGAUAACGUAGCGAAAGCUACGCUAAUACCGCAUACGAUCUAUGGAUGAAAGCGGGGGAUCGCAAGACCUCGCGCGAUUGGAGCGGCCGAUAUCAGAUUAGGUAGUUGGUGAGGUAAAGGGCUCGCCAAGCCGACGAUCUGUAGCUGGUCUGAGAGGACGACCAGCCACACUGGGACUGAGACACGGCCCAGACUCCUACGGGAGGCAGCAGUGGGGAAUUUUUGGGACAAUGGGCGGCAAGCCUGAUCCAGCAAUGCCGCGUGCAGGAUGAA
rnacentral:rRNA from 1 species